AGAGUUUGAUCAUGGCUCAGAUUGAACCUGGCGGCAUGCCUUACACAUGCAAGUCGAACGGCAGCACGGGGGCAACCCUGGUGGCGAGUGGCGAACGGGUGAGUAAUGCAUCGGAACGUGUCCUCUUGUGGGGGAUAACCAGUCGAAAGACUGGCUAAUACCGCAUGAGAUCGAAAGAUGAAAGCGGGGGACCGCAAGGCCUCGCGCGAGAGGAGCGGCCGAUGCCGGAUUAGCUAGUUGGUGGGGUAAAAGCCUACCAAGGCGACGAUCCGUAGCUGGUCUGAGAGGACGACCAGCCACACUGGGACUGAGACACGGCCCAGACUCCUACGGGAGGCAGCAGUGGGGAAUUUUGGACAAUGGGCGCAAGCCUGAUCCAGCAAUGCCGCGUGUGUGAAGAAGGCCUUCGGGUUGUAAAGCACUUUCGGACGGAACGAAAUCGCGCGGAUGAACAAUCCGCGUGGAUGACGGUACCGUAAGAAGAAGCACCGGCUAACUACGUGCCAGCAGCCGCGGUAAUACGUAGGGUGCAAGCGUUAAUCGGAAUUACUGGGCGUAAAGGGUGCGCAGGCGGCCCCGCAUGUCAGGCGUGAAAUCCCUGGGCUCAACUUGGGAAUGGCGCUUGAAACUACGGGGCUUGAGUGUGGCAGAGGGAGGUGGAAUUCCACGUAGCGGUGAAAUGCGUAGAUAUGUGGAGGAACACCGAUGGCGAAGGCAGCCUCCUGGGCCAACACUGACGCUCAUGCACGAAAGCGUGGGGAGCAAACAGGAUUAGAUACCCUAGUAGUCC
rnacentral:rRNA from 1 species